rnacentral:rRNA from 1 species
ACGGCGAGUGAGCGGCAACAGCUCAAAUUUGAAAUCUGGCUCCCUCGGGGGUCCGAGUUGUAAUUUGCAGAGGGUGCUUUGGCAUCGGCGGCGGUCUAAGUUCCUUGGAACAGGACAUCCUAGAGGGUGAGAAUCCCGUACGUGGGCGCCUGCCUUUGCCGUGUAAAGCCCCUUCGACGAGUCGAGUUGUUUGGGAAUGCAGCUCUAAAUGGGAGGUAAAUUUCUUCUAAAGCUAAAUACCGGCCAGAGACCGAUAGCGCACAAGUAGAGUGAUCGAAAGAUGAAAAGUACUUUGGAAAGAGAGUCAAAUAGCACGUGAAAUUGUUGAAAGGGAAGCGCUUGCAGCCAGACUUGCCCGCAGUUGCUCACCUAGGCUCCGGCCUAGAGCAUUCUUCUGCGGGCAGGCCAGCAUCAGUUUGGGCGGUUGGAUAAAGGCCUCUGUCACGUAUCUCCCUCCGGGGUGACCUUAUAGGGGAGGCGUAAUGCAACCAGCCCGGACUGAGGUCCGCGCAUCUGCUAGGAUGCUGGCGUAAUGGCUGUAAGCGGCCCGUCUUGAAACACGGACCAAGGAGUCUAACAUCUAUGCGAGUGUUUGGGUGUCAAGCCCGGACGCGUAAUGAAAGUGAACGGAGGUGGGAACCCUCACGGGUGCACCAUCGACCGAUCCUGAUGUCUUC